rnacentral:rRNA from 1 species
CUGCAACUCGCCUGCAUGAAGUUGGAAUUGCUAGUAAUCGCGAAUCAGAAUGUCGCGGUGAAUACGUUCCCGGGCCUUGUACACACCGCCCGUCACACCAUGAGAGUCGAUAACACCCGAAGCCUGUGAGCUAACCGCAAGGAGGCAGCAGUCGAAGGUGGGGUUGAUGAUUGGGGUGAAGUCGUAACAAGGUACC